UGUUGCAGAGGUCAAGAAAAAAAAGUUACCAAGUUUAGGGACUAAAUAUUAAUUUAUCCAAAAUUAUAACGGAUUUUUAUUGCAACUAGUGUCGGAACUAACGUACGGUGUACUAAAAAAAAGGAAGCAUCCUGGAAGCAGCAUGUAAAUUACAAAAAAAAAAAAAAAAAACGGGCAAAAACCCAUGGCUGCAUUUUCAACACUGAAUUAUCACUCCACAGUUUCUCUCCCCAAAAAAAUCCAUGUAGUAAAAGCUUGAUGAUGAUUGUCCAUUCAUCUCUAAAGGCAAAAAUAUAUAGAGUUAUAAACACAACUACCAAGAAUCAUAUUCUCCAAAAACCAAAAAAAGAAAAAGGGGAAUGGCUAUCUUGUUUCUGAUUAUUGAUGGUGUACGUUUCAUAGUUUCCACGCUUUGGGAUUUGCAGGAACUGCGAUUUGCAGCCAUUUUUGAUGAUGCCAGCUCUUUAACUUUCGCGCUUUUUGUCACCGCCGUCUCCUGUUUCAUAGCUAUGAGAAGUUGAAAAUGAAAAAAAAAAAAUGCUUCAAUUACUGCAAAUACAUUGUGGUUUCCGUUUGUUUUCUUGUAAUUUGAUGGGAAAAACUUACACUUAACAUUGCAAUAAAUCUUUUUGUUGCAAAAAGUAAUUGAAGAUAUGAGAGAGCCUUUUGUUUUCUUUA